rfam:Camelus ferus unplaced genomic scaffold scaffold1811, whole genome shotgun sequence.
GAGGAUAUAGCUUAGUGGUAGAGCGCGUGCUAAACAUGCAAGAGGUCUUAGGUUCAAAUCCCAAUACUUCCA